GGAGCAUUUAAAUAGUAUUUUCUCACAAUGCCCGCACGCCUCCCCCUCGGGGAAAGCGUGUGUGUAUUCCGCACCAAACACACACACACAAAGCUCGUGCCAUCCCCGUCAAUAAUAAUCUAGGACAGGGGGUAACACACUUCUAAAUCCCUUUCUUUAUCCAUGUUUUCCUAGUUUUUUUUAAACUAAUCUAAUCUAAUCUCACUAGAUAUAGGGCCCUAUUUAAACGAUCUUAGCGCAGCGUCUAAAGCGCACGGCGCACGGUCUAAAUGGGCGUGUCCGAUGCCACUUUUGCUAUUUUAACAACGGGAAAAAUGGUUUGUGCGCCGAGCGCAGGGUCGAAAAGGGUUGUACAUAUUUUCCUAAUGAGUAAUGGGUGUGUUUUGGGCGUAACGUGCAGUAAACCAAUGAGAGACUCAGCUAUCAUCCCCUUUAAAAGCCAGUUGCGCUGUCGCUGUGCGUAAUCCCUAUUUAGAUAACGGACCUUGUAAACUGAAGAACUAAGCGGAGGAAGAAGGCCACCAGUUUAAGAAUAAUGUUAAAAAAGUGUUGUUUUCAUUUUUAUUGAAUUUUUUAUUAUUAAAACCUUUAAAAGCCUUUUUCUUUUUCUUACACUGUUAGAUGUCGCUGUAGAUUUAGCAGCACUGUACUGUAAAAAUCCACAGUACUAUACUGUAUGUGUACAUUACAGUACAGUACUGCAGUUCAUAAUGCAUUCUGGGUAAAUUUGUUUGAGCGGGAACAUUUUACAGUAUAUUUUGGUCUUGAUGUAACCUUGCUGUAGCCAUUGCUGUAAUGUGCCAGGUGUACUUGCAAUAAUCAGAGAAAGUGCGCCAACGUCAAAUCACACAGACAGAGGGAGCGCACAACUCUUGGCUGCAGCUGAAGGAGGACGAUUGAUUUCUGUCAGUUCGUCUUACCAUUGCUUGUAAGUCGGAUUGGGUAAGAUGGAUCAUCUUUAAAGGCACCAGGAGUUAAGGCAGAUGUGGAGGCACAACGGGUGACACCAGACACACACCAAGCACAUUGUUCGGACAUUCAAUCAUGACAUGAUCCAGGUGGAUGCUGUCCAUUGAGGAAAGAGUUUGUUCAGCGGUUUCUGGAUAGAAUUAAUUCCAAAGAUGGGAAAAAGUGCACAUCCAGACAAGGAGCAAGCAAAAAGACAAGGAACUUGGUGCAGAGAAAAGCUGUGGCCAUUAACCCCCAUGUGAACAGCUUCAUGCAGUCCCUGAUUGAGUUCGAAUGGACGACUUCAAAGUAAAGGCCACUGUGGUCUGUCUGCCACAGUUUAAUGCAUUUAUUUUUAGUGUUAAAUGAAAUUCAAGUAGAAUAUUUAAAACUAUGGGCCAGUGUUCUUUUUACCACAGUGAAAUGUUACCUUUUAGUCGAUGAUGGACUUUAAACUGAAAACUUCAAACUAUGGAAGAGUGUUCUAUUUGCCAGAGUUAAAUAUGUUACAGCAGGGGUCUCCAAACUUGUUUAUACUUGUUGAUUUUAUUUUAUGUUACUUGAUUAUAUGUUUAUUAUUGUUUAAAAUCUUGUUUUAAAUAUGUUUUGUUUCGAUUAAAUGUUUUUUAAAUAAAAUUUUGAUACAAACA